rnacentral:rRNA from 1 species
CGGCGAGUGGCGAACGGGUGAGUAAUAUAUCGGAACGUGCCCAAGAGUGGGGGAUAACGUAGCGAAAGUUACGCUAAUACCGCAUACGAUCUAUGGAUGAAAGCAGGGGACCGCAAGGCCUUGUGCUCCUGGAGCGGCCGAUAUCUGAUUAGCUAGUUGGUGAGGUAAAGGCUCACCAAGGCGACGAUCAGUAGCUGGUCUGAGAGGACGACCAGCCACACUGGAACUGAGACACGGUCCAGACUCCUACGGGAGGCAGCAGUGGGGAAUUUUGGACAAUGGGGGCAACCCUGAUCCAGCAAUGCCGCGUGAGUGAAGAAGGCCUUCGGGUUGUAAAGCUCUUUUGUCAGGGAAGAAAAGGGUACGGCUAAUAUCCGUACCUCAUGACGGUACCUGAAGAAUAAGCACCGGCUAACUACGUGCCAGCAGCCGCGGUAAUACGUAGGGUGCAAGCGUUAAUCGGAAUUACUGGGCGUAAAGCGUGCGCAGGCGGUUUUGUAAGUCUGACGUGAAAUCCCCGGGCUUAACCUGGGAAUGGCGUUGGAGACUGCAAGGCUGGAAUCUGGCAGA